AUUGAACGCUGGCGGCAGGCUUAACACAUGCAAGUCGAGCGGGGACUUCGGUCCUAGCGGCGAACGGGUGAGGAAUGCUUGGGAAUCUGCCUUGUAGUGGGGGAUAACGUUUCGAAAGGAACGCUAAUACCGCAUACGUCCUACGGGAGAAAGGGGGGGAUCUUCGGACCUCUCGCUAUAACAUGAGCCCAAGUCGGAUUAGCUAGUUGGUGGGGUAAAGGCUCACCAAGGCGACGAUCCGUAGCUGGUCUGAGAGGAUGAUCAGCCACACUGGAACUGAGACACGGUCCAGACUCCUACGGGAGGCAGCAGUGGGGAAUAUUGGACAAUGGGCGAAAUCCUGAUCCAGCCAUGCCGCGUGUGUGAAGAAGGCCUUCGGGUUGUAAAGCACUUUAAGCGAGGAGGAAUGGCUCUGGGUUAAUACCCUUGAGCAGUGACGUUACUCGCAGAAUAAGCACCGGCUAACUCUGUGCCAGCCGCCGCGGUAA
rnacentral:rRNA from 1 species